UACGGGGGGAGCAAGCGUUGUUCGGAUUUAUUGGGCGUAAAGCGCGUGUAGGCGGUCCGGUAAGUCCGCUGUGAAAGUCGGGGGCUCAACCCUCGAAUGCCGGUGGAUACUGUCGGGCUAGAGUGCGGAAGAGGCGAGUGGAAUUCCUGGUGUAGCGGUGAAAUGCGCAGAUAUCAGGAAGAACACCCGUGGCGAAGGCGGCUCUCUGGGACGGUACUGACGCUGAGGAGCGAAAGCGUGGGGAGCGAACAGG
rnacentral:rRNA from 1 species